rnacentral:rRNA from 1 species
GACGAACGCUGGCGGCGUGCUUAACACAUGCAAGUCGAACGGUGAAGCUCCAGCUUGCUGGAGUGGAUCAGUGGCGAACGGGUGAGUAACACGAGAGCAACCUGCCCCUGACUCUGGAAUAAGCGCUGGAAACGGCGUCUAAUACUGGAUACGAGAAGGGUCCGCAUGGGCACUUUCUGGAAAGUUUUUCGGUUGGGGAUGGGCUCGCGGCCUAUCAGCUUGUUGGUGAGGUAAUGGCUCACCAAGGCGACGACGGGUAGCCGGCCUGAGAGGGCGACCGGCCACACUGGGACUGAGACACGGCCCAGACUCCUACGGGAGGCAGCAGUGGGGAAUAUUGCACAAUGGGCGAAAGCCUGAUGCAGCGACGCCGCGUGAGGGAUGACGGCCUUCGGGUUGUAAACCUCUUUCAGCAGGGAAGAAGCGAAAGUGACGGUACCUGCAGAAGAAGCACCGGCUAACUACGUG